GACGAACGCUGGCGGCGUGCUUAACACAUGCAAGUCGAACGGAAAGGCCCUGCUCUUGUGGCGUUCUCGAUUGGCGAACGGGUGAGUAACACGCGAGUAACCUGCCCUUGACUUUGGGAUAACUUCAGGAAACUGGGGCUAAUAUCGCAUAGGAGCUCCUGCUGCAUGGUGGGGGUUGGAAAGUUUCGGCGGUAGGGGCUGGACUCGCGGCUUAUCAGCUUGUUGGUGGGGUAGUGGCUUACCAAGGCUUUGACGGAUAGCCGGCCUGGGAGGGUGGCCGGCGACAUUGGGACUAAGAGAGGGCGCAGACUCCUACGGGAGGCAGCAGUGGGGAAUAUUGCACAGUAGGCGGAAGUCUGAUGCAGAGGCGCCGCGUGCGGGAUGACGGCCUUCGGGUUAUGAACCGCUGUCGCCUGUGACGAAGCGUGAGUGACGGUAAUUGGUAAAGAAGCACCGGCUAACUACGUG
rnacentral:rRNA from 1 species